rnacentral:tRNA from 1 species
CAAAAAAUAAUUUAAUUAGAAUGCUAGCUUUGGGGGUUAGUAGUGAGGGUUGAAGUCCUUCUUUUUUGA